rnacentral:lncRNA from 1 species
GGGGGCUUAACUGCAAAAUAAUCCCACCACUAACCCUAUCCAUUGGAUUAGCAUUUUGUAGCCUUGAUUCAUAGUUUCCAAGGUUGCAUGGGGUAGAUGGUUUGUACUAGAUACGUUCCCUUCUUUUAAGCUAUAAAGCUGAGAUAGAUAAUUUAAACAGCCUAGAAGGAUAAAUACCUCUAUGCAAAUAAUGAAGUUUUGAAUGCUUGAUUUUAACUCCAAGCUCUGGGCUAAAGGACUUCUAAGAAGGCCCAGAGCAUACAAUAUUGCAAUCACCAC